rnacentral:rRNA from 1 species
UUAAGCGACUAAGCGUACACGGUGGAUGCCCUGGCAGUCAGAGGCGAUGAAGGGCGUGCUAAUCUGCGAUAAGCGCCGGUAAGGUGAUAUGAACCGUUAUAACCGGCGAUACCCGAAUGGGGAAACCCAGUGUGAUUCGUCACACUAUCAUUAACUGAAUCCAUAGGUUAAUGAGGCGAACCGGGGGAACUGAAACAUCUAAGUACCCCGAGGAAAAGAAAUCAACCGAGAUUCCCCCAGUAGCGGCGAGCGAACGGGGAGGAGCCCAGAGCCUGAAUCAGCAUGUGUGUUAGUGGAAGCGUCUGGAAAGGUGCGCGAUACAGGGUGACAGCCCCGUACACAAAAGCGCAUGUGCUGUGAGCUCGAUGAGUAGGGCGGGACACGUGGUAUCCUGUCUGAAUAUGGGGGGACCAUCCUCCAAGGCUAAAUACUCCUGACUGACCGAUAGUGAACCAGUACCGUGAGGGAAAGGCGAAAAGAACCCCGGCGAGGGGAGUGAAAAAGAACCUGAAACCGUGUACGUACAAGCAGUGGGAGCCCCACCACUAAGCCAGUGGUGAACUCCACAUCCGCAUCCUUUGCUGAGGAUACGGUUAACGGAGCGAAAGCGACGUUCAACCGCAAAACAAGCAGAGGGGGCUUAGUGGUGGGGUGACUGCGUACCUUUUGUAUAAUGGGUCAGCGACUUAUAUUCUGUAGCAAGGUUAACCGAAUAGGGGAGCCGGAGGGAAACCGAGUCUUAAUUGGGCGUUAAGUUGCAGGGUAUAGACCCGAAACCCGGUGAUCUAGCCAUGGGCAGGUUGAAGGUUGGGUAACACUAACUGGAGGACCGAACCGACUAAUGUUGAAAAAUUAGCGGAUGACCUGUGGCUGGGGGUGAAAGGCCAAUCAAACCGGGAGAUAGCUGGUUCUCCCCGAAAGCUAUUUAGGUAGCGCCUCGUGAAUUCAUCUCCGGGGGUAGAGCACUGUUUCGGCUAGGGGGCCAUCCCGGCUUACCAACCCGAUGCAAACUGCGAAUACCGGAGAAUGUUAUCACGGGAGACACACGGCGGGUGCUAACGUCCGUCGUGAAGAGGGAAACAACCCAGACCGCCAGCUAAGGUCCCAAAGUCAUGGUUAAGUGGGAAACGAUGUGGGAAGGCCCAGACAGCCAGGAUGUUGGCUUAGAAGCAGCCAUCAUUUAAAGAAAGCGUAAUAGCUCACUGGUCGAGUCGGCCUGCGCGGAAGAUGUAACGGGGCUAAACCAUGCACCGAAGCUGCGGCAGCGAACGUAUCACCCAAGACAACUUUACGGAGUUGACGAUUGACGGAGCGAAGCGACGUCAAAGCGUUCAUUAAAGUCGAGUUGGCUUAGGGAUACGUUCGUUGGGUAGGGGAGCGUUCUGUAAGCCUGUGAAGGUGUGUCGUGAGGCAUGCUGGAGGUAUCAGAAGUGCGAAUGCUGACAUAAGUAACGAUAAAGCGGGUGAAAAGCCCGCUCGCCGGAAGACCAAGGGUUCCUGUCCAACGUUAAUCGGGGCAGGGUGAGUCGACCCCUAAGGCGAGGCCGAAAGGCGUAGUCGAUGGGAAACGGGUUAAUAUUCCCGUACUUGGUGUUACUGCGAAGGGGGGACGGAGAAGGCUAUGUUGGCCGGGCGACGGUUGUCCCGGUUUAAGCGUGUAGGUGUGUGUUCCAGGUAAAUCCGGUUCACUUUAACACUGAGGCGUGACGACGAGGCACUACGGUGCUGAAGCAACAAAUGCCCUGCUUCCAGGAAAAGCCUCUAAGCAUCAGGUAACACGAAAUCGUACCCCAAACCGACACAGGUGGUCAGGUAGAGAAUACCAAGGCGCUUGAGAGAACUCGGGUGAAGGAACUAGGCAAAAUGGUGCCGUAACUUCGGGAGAAGGCACGCUGACACGUAGGUGAAGUGAUUUACUCAUGGAGCUGAAGUCAGUCGAAGAUACCAGCUGGCUGCAACUGUUUAUUAAAAACACAGCACUGUGCAAACACGAAAGUGGACGUAUACGGUGUGACGCCUGCCCGGUGCCGGAAGGUUAAUUGAUGGGGUCAGCGCAAGCGAAGCUCCUGAUCGAAGCCCCGGUAAACGGCGGCCGUAACUAUAACGGUCCUAAGGUAGCGAAAUUCCUUGUCGGGUAAGUUCCGACCUGCACGAAUGGCGUAAUGAUGGCCAGGCUGUCUCCACCCGAGACUCAGUGAAAUUGAACUCGCUGUGAAGAUGCAGUGUACCCGCGGCAAGACGGAAAGACCCCGUGAACCUUUACUAUAGCUUGACACUGAACAUUGAGCCUUGAUGUGUAGGAUAGGUGGGAGGCUUUGAAGUGUGGACGCCAGUCUGCAUGGAGCCGACCUUGAAAUACCACCCUUUAAUGUUUGAUGUUCUAACGUGGACCCGUAAUCCGGGUUGCGGACAGUGUCUGGUGGGUAGUUUGACUGGGGCGGUCUCCUCCUAAAGAGUAACGGAGGAGCACGAAGGUUGGCUAAUCCUGGUCGGACAUCAGGAGGUUAGUGCAAUGGCAUAAGCCAGCUUGACUGCGAGCGUGACGGCGCGAGCAGGUGCGAAAGCAGGUCAUAGUGAUCCGGUGGUUCUGAAUGGAAGGGCCAUCGCUCAACGGAUAAAAGGUACUCCGGGGAUAACAGGCUGAUACCGCCCAAGAGUUCAUAUCGACGGCGGUGUUUGGCACCUCGAUGUCGGCUCAUCACAUCCUGGGGCUGAAGUAGGUCCCAAGGGUAUGGCUGUUCGCCAUUUAAAGUGGUACGCGAGCUGGGUUUAGAACGUCGUGAGACAGUUCGGUCCCUAUCUGCCGUGGGCGCUGGAGAACUGAGGGGGGCUGCUCCUAGUACGAGAGGACCGGAGUGGACGCAUCACUGGUGUUCGGGUUGUCAUGCCAAUGGCACUGCCCGGUAGCUAAAUGCGGAAGAGAUAAGUGCUGAAAGCAUCUAAGCACGAAACUUGCCCCGAGAUGAGUUCUCCCUGAGACUUAGAGUCUCCUGAAGGAACGUUGAAGACGACGACGUUGAUAGGCCGGGUGUGUAAGCGCAGCGAUGCGUUGAGCUAACCGGUACUAAUGAACCGUGAGGCUUAACCUU